AUCAAAGUCUGUGCUGUCAGAAGCAGAAGCAUUCCCAGGCCCUGCUGGCGCGCAAACCUCAGCCUUUCCUCCCUAGGGGUCCAUAGCAGGUGCUUUGCGCCUCUCCAGAGUCACACAGGACUGGGGCUGGGCAGCAUUUGGCCGAAGACUUGGGCCACUCUUCAGUGGCCAGGUCCCUUCCUCUGUGUUUUCUCCUCCAUCCCCUCUUCCUGGCCUCCCUCUGUCACUGCCUCCUCCUCCCCUCCCUGCUCUUCCUCCUUGGCGUCCUCUGCUUGCUCCUUUUAUCCCUUCCCUCCUUUUACAAAGUGUGUAUAGAUCUGCAGUCCUCAGUGUGAGGAGGAAGCAGUGCAGGACCUGUUCUCUGCCCGUGAGGAGGCAGAGUCUGCCCGGAAGGAAGGGAGCAGACACACUUGGCUGUGGUACUGAUGAGGCCCGGUGCGCGGACACUUUCCCUGUCACCUCCUGUGCAGCUGCCUGGAAAACAGCACAACUGCGCUGGAACUGUCCCCGUGAAGCCAACCAUCCACCUCUGAAUCCGGCGUCCGGGGCCUGCAGUAGUGGCGCUUUAAAUGUAACUGUGUUGGGCAAUCUGCUCUGUGCAGGCAGCAGCUUCCAUUUUGUAGGCCUUCUGCUGAGUCUGUGAACAAAAUAAAAAUAUUCGCGAGCCACAGACAUAUCACAAACGUGCCUAUUAUUAUAUAUAUUUUCUACUUGUCCUAGGUUUACUUUAGAUAGUUUCAUCACGUUUAAUCUCAAACAAUAAACAGGUGGUUUCGAGUUAUGUAAACAUUCUUUGGGGGCAGAUCUAAUCUUUACUUAAUCUUUACUGCCUUUUUUCAAUUUUUUUUUCUUCCAAAUAGGGUAUUUCCACUGAGGCACCUGAAGGCUACUUAAUAAAUAGUUUUUGAUUGCUUUCCAAAUGAAAGCAAAGUCAGAGUCAUUGAGAAAAGAGGAAAGCAAACCUGACUGCACACGCC
rnacentral:lncRNA from 1 species